GUUCUUCUUCAAGCUGCUCUUGCCCAGUAACGCCUACUGGUGGCUCGGCCGCAGCUUUAGAGUUGAGCGCAGCAUGGACGCCUUUACCGGUCGCCAGAAGACAGCUUAGUGCGGUCCACAGGUACUGGGCUACAACACCCUGUUCGAAAUCGCUUACGCCCUGAAGCUGACGGACGUCAUGGAGGGCUUCCAGGGGCGCAAGUGGUCCCCACCGGUCCCGCUCAUGAAUGGCGCUGGCAGCAGGACGUCUCACAACGGUUCGGCCAGCCCUCCACCGUCCGAGCACAAGUAGUGCGGCGACCGUGCCUGCAGACCGUGCUGCCACAGUCCCCGGCGGUGACCGUGCUGCCACAGUCCCCGGCGGUGACCGUGCUGCCACAGUCCCCGGC